AAAUUGAAGAGUUUGAUCAUGGCUCAGAUUGAACGCUGGCGGCAGGCCUAACACAUGCAAGUCGAGCGGUAACACAGAGAGCUUGCUCUCGGGUGACGAGCGGCGGACGGGUGAGUAAUGUCUGGGAAACUGCCUGAUGGAGGGGGAUAACUACUGGAAACGGUAGCUAAUACCGCAUAACGUCGCAAGACCAAAGUGGGGGACCUUCGGGCCUCAUGCCAUCAGAUGUGCCCAGAUGGGAUUAGCUAGUAGGUGGGGUAACGGCUCACCUAGGCGACGAUCCCUAGCUGGUCUGAGAGGAUGACCAGCCACACUGGAACUGAGACACGGUCCAGACUCCUACGGGAGGCAGCAGUGGGGAAUAUUGCACAAUGGGCGCAAGCCUGAUGCAGCCAUGCCGCGUGUGUGAAGAAGGCCUUCGGGUUGUAAAGCACUUUCAGCGGGGAGGAAGGCGUUAAGGUUAAUAACCUUGGCGAUUGACGUUACCCGCAGAAGAAGCACCGGCUAACUCCGUGCCAGCAGCCGCGGUAAUACGGAGGGUGCAAGCGUUAAUCGGAAUUACUGGGCGUAAAGCGCACGCAGGCGGUCUGUCAAGUCGGAUGUGAAAUCCCCGGGCUCAACCUGGGAACUGCAUUCGAAACUGGCAGGCUAGAGUCUUG
rnacentral:rRNA from 1 species